rnacentral:rRNA from 1 species
UACGUAGGGUGCAAGCGUUGUCCGGAUUUAUUGGGCGUAAAGAGCUCGUAGGCGGUCUGUCGCGUCGGAUGUGAAAACCCAAUGGCUUAACCUUGGGCCUGCAUUCGAUACGGGCAGACUAGAGUGUGGUAGGGGAAACUGGAACUCCUGGUGUAGCGGUGGAAUGCGCAGAUAUCAGGAAGAACACCGAUGGCGAAGGCAGGUUUCUGGGCCAUAACUGACGCUGAGGAGCGAAAGCGUGGGGAGCAAACAGG